AUACGGAGGGUGCAAGCGUUAUUCGGAAUCACUGGGCGUAAAGGACGCGUAGGCGGGUUGGCAAGUCAGAUGUGAAAUCCUACAGCUUAACUGUAGAACUGCAUUUGAAACUGCUAGCCUAGAGUAUGGGAGGGGGAGAUGGAAUUAGUGGUGUAGGGGUAAAAUCCGUAGAUAUCACUAGGAAUACCGAAAGCGAAGGCGAUCUCCUGGAACAUAACUGACGCUAAGGCGUGAAAGCGUGGGGAGCAAACAGGAUUAGAAACCCUAGUAGUCC
rnacentral:rRNA from 1 species